rnacentral:lncRNA from 1 species
AGAGUCUAAGAUUGAGCUAAAUAUUUCCUGAUCUCUCGAGAAAGGGGGAGGGGAGUGGGAGGAUUAAAUGUUCCUUCCUUCAGGGCAGUGGUUAGGCUUUCUCUCCACCAAAAUCUAACUUUAGCUGUAAAGAAGACUGCAGUUAUGUAGUACUUUGUAUCCAGGGAUCUCAAAGAACUUUACGCAUCAUUUAUUGUGAACCUUGUUUUGCAAAGAUUUCAGUUACUUGAGGCUUGGGAGGCGGAUAGGGGAUAAAUGUCUGAGUUAUAUAUAUAUUUACGCAAGUAAUCGAGUUUGAGGGGAGAGACACAAAACCUCUGGUUUAGCGGUUUCCUCUUGUUUGUGAAGCACCUUCUAGCAGUUAUCUUAGAGAUGUAAGUUCAUUUACUUGUCCAGCACUAAAAGGCCAAAGGGGCUUGUUUUCUCACCCAAAAGACCUUCCUGAGGCAGCUGUUCGGAUACAUGCAGAGCACAGCGCCCUGCUCAGAAAGGAAGGUUCAGAGAACAAAUUGUCGUUUAAAACUAUUGGGACAAACCUACCUCUUCUAAAGCUUAAAAUGGUCUCCAGCGUACCAGGAUUUGUGAAGGCCUGAAGUUCGUAGAAUGAAAUCUAUGUGGAGAUGAUUUAAAAGAACGGUUUCACUGGUUUGCAUUUCUUUCUUUUCUUUUUAAUUAAAAAAAAACAACAACCCUGGUUUCCUUAGGGAUUCAGGGUGGUGUUAUGCAAAAUCGGAAAGGUACACUUGGAGGAGCUAGCAAGUUUAGCAUAUCAAAGCUAUUAGACCAAUUUGUGCGGUUAAAACUGCCAUUCUCAUUUCUCAACAGCUGUCUCCUCUCUGUCCCUUUUUAGAGACCAACACAUAUAAACCAAGUCUACACAAGAAACAAAGGUAAUGGAAAUCUGCUAGUAUCAGGUUUAAAUAGAUCAAAAUAGAGUAGAAAACCCCAAAAGGGUCUAAGUUAUGUAGUUGGGUAAAGGUGUUGAUCUAUUUAGCCAGUGUUAGCUAAAGGUCGCUUGAUGCUGUGUAGACAUACAUAACUAAAGAGCAAUGAAUGGUGUGGGGAAGGUGCUUAAGAUUCAGUUAGAAGAAACUGUAAAAGCAAGUAAAUUCAGAAAAGGAGGGAAUUACCACAUGCCCUUCGAUGCAGAGAACCAAGAAAUGCAGGGAGAAAGUCAGCAAGGCACAGUUUUUCUAAGAAACACAUAUGUGUCCCCAUUUAGUGGUAAAUUUCUUGGGCUAUAUUCCUGGCUGGUUCUGGCUUUUAAAGCAGAUUUUAUGUGAGUACAUUUUAAAGGAAAGGAGAAAUUGAAGGAUGAAGUGAAUUUUUGUGCAGAUUGAAUUUUCUCAAAUAGAAUUUUAAAUUCAUAUUGUUUUCUAGCACAUUCUUCUUAUAACCUUUUCUUUUCUUUUUUCACUUGACAGCUAAAAUCCUUUCGAAAUGAGUUCCUUUAAGUUCUUCAGUAACUAAAUCCUCCAGAAAGGAAAGCCGAGAGAAUCUAGUCCUAUACAAUAACACCCUCUAACAAAGAUCGCUAAAGGAAGAUUUUAGUAGAUGAAUAUCUUCAAUAAUACAUGGUCACAUACAUGUAUCUGACCAUAUGAUGGCUCUCUGCACCAAAUUCCUCCAAACUAUUAUAAUAUGUAUUGUCUGUAGUGCUAUUUAUUUGGCAGUUAAUCAUGUAUUACAUUGUGACAUUUCUUACAGUGAACCAUUAUGUAUGUGUUUAUGUUCUGCCCUCAACUACUCAAUGCCAGUACCUUAUUCUUAACACAGCAACCACCCUUUCUGGUCUGUCCUCACACCCUCAUUCCCAUCAUAGUUAUUCUCCUCUCUCAUGGAAAUGUUCAGUUUCUGGACAUCUCCUUUCUCUUCCAUUCUUCACCUGACCUUCCUUCCUUUCUUGGCCAGCCUGAAUAUUAUAAAGGGAAUUUUAUUUCAAACCCAGGAUCGCACUUAAGAGGAAAAGAAACAAAAGCCAGUUCUUUUUAUUGCACAUAGAACAAGGAGAAACUCCACCCCUUUUGUUGUCUGGUAUGUUUAAAACAAGAAAGAACUUUAGAAAAGUAGGAUAUGAGUGAAAAUUACAACCAAUGUUGAGAACUACUUUUUAAUUUUUUAUUACAAAAUUAGGAUGAUACUUCAUUAAACAUUGUACAUCAUUUCAAAACUGUUAUCUCAUAAUCAUGUUGCUUGUUUUGAAUUAUUCUUUUAAAGUGUAAUUUUUUUAAGCAAAGAAUCCAUAAAAUUACAUGGCUUGGAUGUACCAUAACUUACUUAAUCCUUAUGCUAUUGUUUAAUAUGUGGGUUGUUUCAGAUUUUUCAUGAUUGUAAAUAACAAAAUAAACUUCCUUAUACU